ensembl:lncRNA
GCGACGCCCAGGAAGGGAAGGAGGGGAAGCCCAGGGUCCAGAGGUGACCUAGCAGAACAGGAGGUGGAUGAUGCUGGCAGGGCCGGGGAGAGGCCCUGGAAUGAGGGAUACCCGGACGGAUCCUUGGGAGGUGGUGCAGGUCACAGGGCUUCAGUUUCAGCUGAGUUAGGGAGUCGAGCAGGAGCCGCCAGGCUGGGAGGCUGAGAGGCGCGCAGGAGGCUCAGGGCUGAUGGACCCGGGGAGGCUUGUCAGGGAGCCCUGUGGCAACGAGCAGCCCGCAGGGGCCGGCCGCCUGGGGGUCAGGGCGGCCUGGGCUGAGUUUGGAGCAUGGAGGCCCGGGGGUACUGCACGUCUCGGACAGGGCCGGUCCACCGAACCACAGCGGUGCUUGAGAAAUACAGCGAUGCGGAUCAGCGAAGUGUCGUGUUCAGACGGUCAAUCGUGUCCGACUCUGCGACCCCGUGGACUGCAGCCUGCCGGGAGCCGGCAUAUUGCAUAUUGAGUGCAUAUUGCAUAUUGAGUGCAGCACUUUCCACAGCAUCAUCUUUCAGGAUCUGGAAUAGCUCAAAUGGAAUUCUAUCACUGCCGGGAGCCAGCGUGAGGAACCCCGCCCAUGACAAAGGUCAUGAGUAAGGAAGCUCGGCAUACGCAAAGGCGGGAUCGAGCUUCAGGAGUCCCCCUGGAAAUUCUCGAGCAUCUACCCCCAAAACCAGAGUCUGCCUACUUUCUGCUUUGUGCUCUCACCUACACCUCUGACUUUACGGGGGGCUGUCCCCCACCACCUCUCUCUGAAAAAAGAGUUAGCUUACAGCUCCAGUUAAUAAUUCCUGGGUGUGACAGUGUUUAACCUACAAACUCCUUUGGAAAUCCUCUAGCCUGCCUGAAUAGGUUUUUCCAGCCACAUGUGAUUGUUCAGAGCCUCCCAACUGUGAGAGGCAGGAGAUGUUCUAAACUGUCUAAACACAGAUUCCUUUGAGUAGUUAAAAGAUUGAUUAGAAAUUGUAUUGGUGAAGGGAUUUUCACUUGUUGGGCCAGUGUUUGCUGCUAAGUUUCCAUAUCCCUUACCUGCUGUGUCCCUGGCAGUGUAUUGAUUAAUAUAAUUGGUGUAAGUAGUAGCUUUAAUGUUUGUAACCUGGGACCCUUGAGUUAAUUCUUUUUCUUGUUAUAGCCCACCACACCUUUGCUCUGUAGGAAUGCAACUUUAUCUAAUGCUUUUGGAGGGUGGCUCCUGACCAAUCAUCUUUAGAGAAAAAUAAGUUUUCUGAAGAAAGGGUCUUAAAAUGUUAACAGGCCUCCGGGCCAGAAGAUGAUGCAAAUCACCUAAGCUUUUGCAUAUGAUAAGUUUGCAGGAAGAAAGCCUGGCUUGCUGCAGGACUCUACCCCUUCCCCCGUUAUCCUCUAUGCAUAACUUAAGGUAUAAAAACUACUUUGGAAAAUAAAGUGCGGGCCUUGUUC